UACGUAGGGUGCGAGCGUUGUCCGGAAUUACUGGGCGUAAAGAGCUCGUAGGUGGUUUGUCGCGUUGUUCGUGAAAACUCACAGCUUAACUGUGGGCGUGCGGGCGAUACGGGCAGACUGGAGUUUGGCAGAGGAGACUGGAAUUCCUGGUGUAGCAGUGAAAUGCGUAGAUAUCAGGAGGAAUACCGAUGGCGAAGGCAGGUCUCUGGGCUAUAACUGACGCUCAUGCACGAAAGCGUGGGGAGCAAACAGG
rnacentral:rRNA from 1 species